AUGGCAACGUGCGAUGGUAGCGCCACCAAACUGAGGACGACGCUGCUGAACUGGGUUGACCACUUUUGUGGACGCCAUUCCAACUGCGUGGAGGACUCUCCCUGUAAGACGGCGGGGCAUGUUCCGAGUACGCUGUUGAUCCAAGAUCCAGUCGCAGAGAAUCUCCUCUCUUCUUUUUUGAGAUCGACAACAGUCUUCAAGAAUGCUGGGGACUACAUCCAAGCAAAAGACACCCACCACGUGGAGUCCUUCAACAACACCAUGUUGAUCUACAUAGACAAGCGAGUUCAUUAUAUGGACCGCUCCUACAACCUCAGACAGGGUCUCGCAGUCCUGGAUAGGAAUGAGCAUGUCGGUCGGCAGUAUACGUCGACGUACUUCGUCGAGGACGCCUGUCAUCCUGAUCGACAGGGGGGGAAGAAGAAGUACACGAAAAAGACGUUUAGUUUCACACAGAAGAUCCGCCACCUGCUCCUUGAAACUGCAGCCUUGAAGGAGUCCAGCCAAGAAACGGACGAGUCCAUCCCUGAAAAUGGCUCCUGAAAUCAAGCCCCUGAAACCCUGCCCGUUACCUGAUUGACCAAAAA
rnacentral:sRNA from 1 species